rnacentral:siRNA from 1 species
UGGAUCGGUAGAGGAGUGCCGCUC